GUGGGCACCACAGGCGCCGUCCAUUCUGUUACGCUUGUACCCAGCUGGGGAAGAGCCUGCCAUAAUCCUACUGCAUCCAGCUUGGGGUAGAUGCCUCUGUACCAACACAGUUCAUAAAACGCACCAGUGAAUAGAUCUGCAUGCAAGAAAGGGUGCGGAAGGCCUCAGGCAGCCCCGCCUAUCCCCUCAGUAGCUGCGCACAAGGCUCCCUCGCAGACGUGACAGGGUCUCAGUGCCUCUCCAGCCCUUUAGGGAAUGCCCUCCGGGGUGGAACAUCCCCAGGGCCCCGGAGAAUGGAACGAGAAGUUCAUCACUUCAGAAUCACUGCACGUCAUGCACAGAAACUGAGCUGUGCAGCCAUCAGCACAAUCAACGUUUGCACCGGCGUGGCCUUGACCAGAACCCUCCACCUGGCCGCAGCCGCCGCUGACAGACUCCUCUCUCCAGCCUUGCUCGUUCUGCGCAUGUCCUGUAAUGGAGCCACGCCCUCCCUCGUGUCCCGGGUCUGGGUGUUGUCACUGAGCACAGUGCUGUCAAGGCUCGUCUGUGUGAACCUGUGCUCGGUUCCUGUUGCCGGCCUCACAGUACUCCACAGUACAGAUGGACCUCAUUUCACUUAGUCACUCACCUGGUGGUGGUUAUCUCUUUAACAGGUUUGUGGCUCCCCCUCCCCACAAGAAAGCAAAAACAAAACCAAAAAAAAAAAAAAAAAACAACCAACCCAACCUUAUAGUUCUGGAAUUACUCCUCAUUGUAUUAGCUGUUCAAAAAUAAAAUCAUUGUUCCAUCUGUGUGUGAA